UACGUAGGGCGCAAGCGUUUGUCCGGAAUUAUUGGGCGUAAAGAGCUCGUAGGCGGCCUGUCGCGUCGGUUGUGAAAGCCCGGGGCUUUAACCCCGGGUCUGCAGUCGAUACGGGCAGGCUAGAGUUCGGUAGGGGAGAUCGGAAUUCCUGGUGUAGCGGUGGAAAUGACGCAGAUAUCAGGAGGAACACCGGUGGCGAAGGCGGAUCUCUGGGCCGAUACUGACGCUGAGGAGCGAAAGCGUGGGGAGCGAACAGG
rnacentral:rRNA from 1 species